rnacentral:rRNA from 1 species
UACGGAGGGGGCUAGCGUUGUUCGGAAUUACUGGGCGUAAAGCGCACGUAGGCGGCGAUUCAAGUCAGAGGUGAAAGCCCGGGGCUCAACCCCGGAACUGCCUUUGAAACUAGAUUGCUAGAAUCCUGGAGAGGUUAGUGGAAUUCCGAGUGUAGAGGUGAAAUUCGUAGAUAUUCGGAAGAACACCAGUGGCGAAGGCGACUAACUGGACAGGUAUUGACGCUGAGGUGCGAAAGCGUGGGGAGCAAACAGG